rnacentral:lncRNA from 10 species
GCGAGAGGCACCCAGCUCAUUGCUCUCUCCUGGAUUCUUGACCAACUCAAACUAUGGCUUGAUAUAGAUGAAGAUGCAGCUGCCAUAAGUGAUGGAAACCACAGUAAUAUGUGAAGAACAGGGAUUCUGUGCUGCGGAGAUCAUUACGGAAGCAACAGUAGCAGGUGGCCUGGCCAUACAGGGAUUCCUUACUCGCAGCAGAGAAUGUUGCUGCCACUCAAAGUCACCAGGGGCUGAAGAGCUCCUGUGGAGACCCACAUCAUCUAACAACACACAUACUCAAAACAGGGAAAUGUGCAUUUUCGGGAGAGGAAGAGACAAACCUUUUGUUUAGCUAACUGGCAUGACAGAGUGUGACAUACAUGUGCUCCUGGAAGAACGGUGUUGGGUGUCUGCACUCAAAAUCUUGAGCAUAGGCAACUGGAUGAAGGGCUCUGUGGCAUUGAUUUUCAUUGUGUGUGUGUUAAUAUUUACAUUUAUAAUUAAAUAAAUAAUCGAAAUUAUGCUGAACUGAAAAAAGAU